UACGGAGGGGGCUAGCGUUGUUCGGAAUUACUGGGCGUAAAGCGCACGUAGGCGGCUUUGCAAGUUAGAGGUGAAAGCCCGGGGCUCAACUCCGGAAUUGCCUUUAAAACUGCAUCGCUAGAAUUGUGGAGAGGUAAGUGGAAUUCCGAGUGUAGAGGUGAAAUUCGUAGAUAUUCGGAAGAACACCAGUGGCGAAGGCGACUUACUGGACCGUAACUGACGCUGAGGCGCGAAAGCGUGGGGAGCAAACAGG
rnacentral:rRNA from 1 species